GCCUCAUUAAAACGGAGGAUGACCUCGUUAGCAACCUGAAAGAGUAGGGAAAAAUUACUUUGCUUCUUUUGUCCCCAGCUUCUCAGGGCCUUGGCAGUGGCGGACAGUUUGGCAUCGAGCGAGCAGAUAGCGUCGCCAGCAAAAUUGGCCGAGUUCCAGGCUGUCUCGACCACCUCCAAAAAUCCAGGGAUUUUUAUCCAAAAGUUCUCGAAACAGAACCGAAAAGAUCUUGGCCUCGUCGAGGAGCAGUUUCAAAAGCAGAGGACAAUGGUCAGAGAUGCUGGUGCUAAGAGCCGUCAAAUCGCUGAUCGGAUAGAUGUCUUCCCACAGGGGGUUGAACAGGACUCUAUCAAGUUUCGCCAUUAUGGGAUUUUCUUGUUCAUUGCUCCAGCCGUAUCAUAGACCAGAUUAAAAUCUCCGUUCAACAGCCAGGGAAGCUGCAUAGAGGAACCGAUAUCCAGGAGUUCAAGAAGGAACCUUUCCAUAAAGCAAUAGUCCGUUGAACCUGUGUGUAUAGCACAUCAAAUAUUUUUUUCACUCAUCAUUUUGUACCAAUUUCUGUGUGCACACUUGCUAUUGCUGUUCUAUUAUAUUCUGUAGCAAAUUCAAACGCCUUUAUGUCUAUUUAACAUUGUUCCCGGUAGGUUUAGAUUAUUGGUGAAAGAAAAUGCCUAGUUUGGUAUAGUUUGGGGGGCGAGUCGGGUCACAAGAUAAUCAGACUAAUAGUCAAAGCAAGCACAUACAAAGCUUGAUUCUAA